AUGAAGCAGAACAGCUGGGCCCGGAUCGCCGUCAUCCUGCUGUGCGCGCUCCUGUUCGUGGGGGUUCUGGUCGUGAACGCGCUGGCUGGAGCGGGCAAAGGUCCAUUCCAUUACAGUACAGGAAAUGUUUCUGCUCGAUACGAGACGGACAUCACUCCAGCUGGAUGGACCUUCUCCAUCUGGGGGGUCAUCUAUACGUGGUUGACUCUGAUGGUCAUUUAUGUCACGUCAUUAGCUUUCAGAGGGACCUGGGCUCAGUAUCUGCUGCCCUUUGGCUUUCACUUCUCCUGGCUGUUCAACAUGCUCCUGAACGUCACGUGGCUUCUCCUGUGGGACAGGGAAACAUUCAGAUCCAGAUUUGAUGAGCUU
rnacentral:lncRNA from 1 species